rnacentral:rRNA from 1 species
CUACGGGGCGCUCCAGUUGCGAAACCUUUACAAUGCACGAAAGUGUGAUAGGGGGAUCCCGAGUGCUCAUGCUUUGCAUGGGCUUUUGUCAAGGGUAAGUACCUUGGCGAAUAAGUGGUGGGUAAGACUGGUGCCAGCCGCCGCGGUAACACCAGCGCCACGAGUGGCAAUCACGAUUAUUGGGUCUAAAGCGUCCGUAGCCGGUUCAGUAAAUCUUUUGUGAAAUCGUUGGGCUAAACCUAACGGCUGGCAGGAGACACUGCUGGGCUUGAGACCGGAAGGAGUACAGAGUAUGGUGUGGGGACCGGUAAAAUGGGAUAAUCCACGCUAGACUACCAAUGGCGAAGGCACUGUACCAGGACGGAUCUGACGGUGAGGGACGAAAGCUAGGGGAGCGAACCGGAUUAGAUACCCUUGUAGUC